rnacentral:rRNA from 1 species
UACGGAGGGUGCAAACGUUGCUCGGAAUCAUUGGGCGUAAAGCGCACGUAGGCGGCCCAGCAAGUCGGGUGUGAAAGCCCUCGGCUUAACCGAGGAAGUGCAUUCGAAACUACUGAGCUUGAAUACUGGAGAGGAUCGCGGAAUUCCCGGUGUAGAGGUGAAAUUCGUAGAUAUCGGGAGGAACACCGGUGGCGAAGGCGGCGACCUGGGUCGAUACUGACGCUGAUGCGCGAAAGCGUGGGGAGCAAACAGG